rnacentral:rRNA from 1 species
UGGGGAAUAUUGCACAAUGGGCGAAAGCCUGAUGCAGCAACGCCGCGUGAGUGAUGAAGGCCUUCGGGUUGUAAAGCUCUGUCUUUUGGGACGAUAAUGGACGGUACCAAAGGAGGAAGCCACGGCUAACUACGUGCCAGCAGCCGCGGUAAUACGUAGGUGGCAAGCGUUGUCCGGAUUUACUGGGCGUAAAGGAUGCGUAGGCGGAUUUUUAAGUGAGAUGUGAAAACCCUAAGCUUAACUUGGGGACUGCAUUUCAUACUGGAAAUCUAGAGUGCGGGAGAGGAGAAUGGAAUUCCUAGUGUAGCGGUGAAAUGCGUAGAGAUUAGGAAGAACACCAGUGGCGAAGGCGAUUCUCUGGACCGUAACUGACGCUGAGGCAUGAAAGCGUGGUAGCAAACAGGAUUAGAUACCCUGGUAGUCCACGCCGUAAACGAUGAGUACUAGGUGUAGGAGGUAUCGACCCCUUCUGUGCCGCAGUUAACACAAUAAGUACUCCGCCUGGGAAGUACGAUCGCAAGAUUAAAACUCAAAUGAAUUGACGGGGUCAUAGCU